rnacentral:rRNA from 1 species
UACGUAGGUGGCAAGCGUUGUUCGGAAUUAUUGGGCGUAAAGGGCGCGUAGGCGGUCUUGUAAGUCAGCUGUGAAAGCCCGGGGCUCAACCCCGGAGGGUCGGCUGAUACUGCAGGACUAGAGUACGGAAGAGGUAGCUGGAAUUCCCGGUGUAGCGGUGAAAUGCGCAGAUAUCAGGAAGAACACCCGUGGCUAAGGCGGCUCUCUAGUACGGUACUGACGCUGAGACGCGAAAGCGUGGGGGAGCGAACAGG